rnacentral:tRNA from 1 species
UCCGCGGUAGCUCAGUGGUAGAGCGACUCCCUGUUAAGGAGAUGGUCGUAGGUUCGAAUCCUACCCGCGGAGCCA